AUUAGAAGUUAAACAGAUCUUUUCUGAUUGGACAGUGAGAUGAGGUCCCGCCUGCCCAUUAGAAGUUAAACAGAUCUUUUCUGAUUGGACAGUGAGAUGAGGUCCCGCCUGCCCAUACGAAGUUAAACAGAUCUUUUCUGAUUGGACAGUGAGAUGAGGUCCCGCCUGCCCAUAAGAAGUUAAACAGAUGUUUUCUGAUUGGACAGUGAGAUGAGGUCCCGCCUGCCCAUAAGAAGUUAAACAGAUGUUUUCUGAUUGGACAGUGAGAUGAGGUCCCGCCUGCCCAUAAGAAGUUAAACAGAUGUUUUCUGAUUGGACAGUGAGAUGAGGUCCCGCCUGCCCAUUAGAAGUUAAACAGAUCUUUUCUGAUUGGACAGUGAGAUGAGGUCCCGCCUGCCCAUUAGAAGUUAAACAGAUCUUUUCUGAUUGGA